rnacentral:rRNA from 1 species
UGGGGAAUAUUGGACAAUGGGCGAAAGCCUGAUCCAGCCAUGCCGCGUGUGUGAAGAAGGUCUUCGGAUUGUAAAGCACUUUAAGUUGGGAGGAAGGGCAGUAAGCGAAUACCUUGCUGUUUUGACGUUACCGACAGAAUAAGCACCGGCUAACUCUGUGCCAGCAGCUGCGGUAAUACAGAGGGUGCAAGCGUUAAUCGGAAUUACUGGGCGUAAAGCGCGCGUAGGUGGUUCGUUAAGUUGAAUGUGAAAGCCCCGGGCUCAACCUGGGAACUGCAUCCAAAACUGGCGGGCUAGAGUAAGGCAGAGGGUGGUGGAAUUUCCUGUGUAGCAGUGAAAUGCGUAGAUAUAGGAAGGAACACCAGUGGCGAAGGCGACCACCUGGGCUCAUACUGACACUGAGGUGCGAAAGCGUGGGGAGCAAACAGG